UUACCCCAUAUUAUUCUCUCCCAUGCUGGCCUUCUUUUGUUUCCUUAAACACAAUCCAGCUUGUUCCAGCUGAUUUUGCACCAGCUGUUUCCUCUACCGGAAAAGCUCCUACCCCUCUUCUUCUCAGAGGUGAUUUCUUCCCGUUGUUAAUUUUUCAGUUUCAUGUCAACUCUUCAGAAUGGCCUCAGUUCAUCUCCAUCACACUCUCUGUUUUAAUUAUCUGUACAGCUAUAUAUAGAGAGAGAGGAAGAGAGAGAGAGAGAGAUGUAGAUCAAAGAAUUGGCUCGUGUGGUUGCAGAGGCUAGAAAGCCCCAAAUCCAUAGGUCUGGCUGGAGGCUUCUCUGACUCACAUAGCUGUAGGGGCUGAUGAACUCAAGAUCCACACCAAGGAGGCUGACACAUCCCAAGAUCAGCAGGAAAGCUGCUAGCUCAAGUCCCAAGAACCAGAGGUCAGAUGAACAGGAGCCAGCUGCAGGAUUCAGAACAAGCAAAAGCCAGUGAGCCUUGCCAGAAAGCCCACCUACAUUGGAUGCAGGCCAGACACCCAAGGAAACUUCCUUUCAACUGAUUGGCUACUCACAGCAGAUACCAUCAUGGAGGUGAUCACACUAUAUUAGAAUUAUAUUAGAUCUCAUCAUGGAGGUGAUUACAUCAUUAUAUGACUGCUAAAGUACAUCGUAACUGCCAAACCACUGAGCAUCAUGACCCAGCCAAGUUGACACACAACCUUAAUGAUGACAUAAGAUGACCAUGGUUCACUGUUUUUACUUCUCAGAACCUCAUAUUCUUCAUCUGUAACAAUGGCAGGAAUCACACCUCUUUAGGCAUUUGUAAGGAUUAAAUGAGAUAACCUAUAAAAAGUUUUUUUCACUAGUAACAAGAGGAUGAUAACAAUCAGUAACUACCUCACAGAGUUGUUGUGAGGAAUAACGAGUUAAAGUUCUAAAAAGCAAAGACGAUACUUUGAUGACUAAGGUCCACAUGACCCAAGCUGUGGUAUUUUCAGUUGCUUCAUAUGCUGAACGAUAAAAAAGGAAGACAGAAGAAGAACUGAGGCAUUCAAAUUGUAGUGCUGGUGAAAAAUAAACUGUAGACGGCCAGAAGAACAAACAAAUCGGUCUUAGAAGAAAUAAAACCAGAUGCUCCUUAGGAGCAAGGAUGGUGAAACUUCAUCUUGCUUACUUCAGACAGGCCGUCAGGAAAGACCAAUCACUAGAAAAGGACACCACAUUUUGUAAAGUAGAGGGCCAGUGAAAACAGGGGAAACCCUCCAUGAGAUGAUUGGCACAAUAGCCACAACAAUGAGCUCAAGCAUAUCAAAGAUCAUGAAGAUGGCACAGGACUGGGCAACAUUUCCUUCUGCUACACAUAAGGCAGCCAGGAGUCAAAGCCAACUCAACAACAGCUAACAGCAACAUGACAGAGCCUGGCAUGUUUGGAACAAGACAGAGACGAGGUCACUCUCCAAACACAAACGUGACGAAACAUCGCCCUCUUCUGAUGAGUCUGGGUAACUGCUGCUCCUUCACCAAUGACAACCAACUCCAGCGCUCCCCUCAGAGCUGGACUACAUUUCCCAGCUUCCCGAGAAUGAGAUGUGGCCAACGUGAGUUCUGACCAAUGGAACUAGUGAUGUACAACCCCUCCAGGCCUGGCCCUCCUGUUAGGGACUGUUUGACUACUAGCCAAAAGGUUGGCAAUUCAAACCUACCCGGAAGACAGGCCCAGCGAUCUACUUCCAAAAGGUCACAGCCUUGAAGACCGUAUGGAGCAGUUCUACUCUGACACAUGGGAUCACCAUGAGUUGGAAUGGACUGGAUGGUAACUAACAACAACAACAAGGAAUGGUGAAGCCACAAUGGAAGAAUCUGGGUUUCCUAACCAUUGUGUGGGAGUCUUCCCACUGCACACAAGCAUAGAAGUGUUGGGAGAGCAAGAAAUACACACCUAUACUACAUUACACACCAAGAGUUUGGAGUUUUUUUUUUUUUUAGAAUAGUUAGCUAUACUAAUACAGUAUCUUUCAACUACAUGUUAUUUUUUUUUCUAUAACUAUCUUACGCCUUUUUUGUUAAGAGUUUUUCGCAGGUACAUUACGUGUUUUAUUGUUGUAUAUGGUAUUUUAUUUUAAAAAAUUACAUUUUGCUCACUGUUGCUAGUUUAUAGUGUUUGUAGAUGAUCUUAUGUUUAGCAAUCUUAAUCAAAAUCUCUUAUUUAUUCUUUUAGUUUGGCUGUAGAUUCUUUACGGUUUUCUCUGUUGACAAUCAUCUGAUUUAAGUUAGUAUGGUUUCUUCCUUUCCAACCCUUGCAUCUUUUAUUUCAUUUUCUUUCUUACUGUUCUAGCUAGGACCCCUAGUACAAUGAUGAGUUAUGGUAUGAAUUCACAUUCUAGCCUUGAGUGAAGCCGGGCUUGUGGUCGAAGCCUUCUCAGGGAGACCUUCUAUCCAGAGUCGAGGCCAAGGUUGGCAGGUGCUCUUGCUACCUCCCUUUGCGGGGUGGUUGCUUUCCUAGAUUACCCCUUGACUAAGGGUGUUGUCCUCAAGUCCCUAGCCUUAUUUGAGACUCUGUGCACUGACUCCCCACCUUGCAUGGGUCUUAGGCAUUAUCUCUGCAUCCCACUCCCUGAUUCCUGAAAACCAAAGUUCUUGAUCUCCAGGGAGUUGUUCAUGUCCGAGUGCAGCAAAUGGCUUCAGCUUUAGUUGACCUUCCUACUUUCAUGCUUCCUCCUUGGCUUCUGAGGGUUUCUCCUAAUUUCAUGUCAGCUUAGCCAUGCACUGAAAAACAUUUUUUUUAAAUAUGUUAAAAAUUAAAAAAAUAUUUUCUCAAGAUUUUAGGUGUUUUAUAGCAGUGGCGCAAUGGUUUAGGCCUCAGCUGCUAACCGAAAAGCUGGGGUUUGAACUCACCCAGCAGUUCUGCAGGAGAAAGACCUGGCGAUCUGCUUCCGUAAAGACUUCAGCCUAAGAAACCUCAUGCGGCAGUUCUCCUCUGUCACACGGGCUCCCCAAGAGCUGAAACAGACUCAACAGCACCUAACAACAACGCAGAGACAGGGUUUCAGGAUAGCCCAUCUACCACAUUGCUAUGUGUGGCAAGCUUGGGUUUUGUUUUCUUUCAUCCUUUUAAAAACUUUAAAUUUUUUUGGAAGAAUAGUAUAACCACGUAUUUCAGAAUUCCAUGAGUACAAAAAGGUAUACAGUGAAAGUAAGUCCUUCUCCCUCAUCCCUCAAUUACCUACAACCAAUAUAAAUUUUUUUGACUAUCCUUCCAAAGAUUUUCUAUGUGUACAGAAUAUACAUUUUUACACAAAUGACAGCAUAUAGAACCCUCUUUUCUUUUUCUUUUUUUUAACUCAACAUUAAAUCUCAGAGAUACUUUACUGUUAGUACACAAAAAUCUUUCUUAUUCUUUUGUACUCUUGUAUAGAUGGGACAAUAUUUCUUAAACCAAUAUCCUGUUAGAUAUUGAGAAUGUGUAUAAUCUUUUGCAAUUUCAAACAGGGCUGAAGCAAAUAACCUUGCUCAUACAAUUUUUUGCACACAUUUAUCUGUACAUUCAUAGGAUAAAUUCCUGUGUAGAAAUGUUUAGUCAGUGGGGAUGUACAUUUAUAAUUUGGUUGAUAUUGCUAAAUUGUCUUCUGUAGGCAACUACUCCUAAGAGCAAUUUCUAGAAGUGACUAUUUCUUCACACUAGAUAAAAAAUAAGACUUCUUUAUUUUUGUCAAACUGAUAAGUGAAAAAUGGUAUCUCAUAAUUUUAUUCGUAUUUUUAUUGCACGUGAGAUUAAGCAUUUUUCUGUAGGUAAAAAAGCCAUUCUUUCUCUUUCUGUGAACCUACUGUGCAUAUCCUUGCUUCUUUUCUUUUUUUUUUAAAUAUUGACUUCUAGAUGCUCAUUAUAUGGUGGAGAAGACAGGGUCGUUAUAUUCUCAGGAACUAACAAAACCCCUGGCAUAAAGCAGUUACCCCCAAAAAUGUGCCCUGAUUUAAUUUUAAAAGUAAUUUCUGCUGUAUUGAUUGUGAUCCAAUAUUAACAUGCAUCAUGUUUGUUUGCCCCCCCCCCCCCACCAACACACACACAAAGCAAAUGAUACUGUACCUUCUUGGAAAACCCAAAACAAACGAACAAAUUCCUGAGUAUUUUAUAGUAUGUAUGUUUCAUGUGCUAGGAUAGACUCAUCCCUUUGAGGCCGUGUAUCAUAUUUUUAUGCAAAUAACAUGUGCCUUUUAUGUUUGUUUGCCAAUCACUCCCUCCUCCUGCAAGAUAUUUUCGUAAGUGCUGCUAUGUCAAUUUUUUACAUGUUGCUGUAAAAAAUCAGCAUAAUGUGCUUACAAAAAUACCUCAUGGGGGGAGAGGAGCAGUUGGUAAAAAAAUGAAGAAGAUGCACGUUAUUUGUGUAAAAAUACAUUAACAGUAAAAAUUUCUGAGCCAUUGGGAAAAUGACUACAUCAAAGAAAGGACAGGUGCCACAGCCUGGUUCCCUAGAAAACAAAGUCUGAGCUAACACAUUAUUGGAUGUGUGUGUAUAUGUGUGUGUGUGUGUGUGUGUGUGUGUGUAUGCAAGCCCAGGGCAGCAGGAGUAAGGGAAAACGGCUAGACAGAGGAAAAGCAAAUGCAAAUUGGUGCAUCCCUGAGCAGGCCACUGUCAUGAGGAUGUCUUUGGCCAACCCAAACGGAACCAUCGUACCUCAGAACCGUCAGGGAGGAAGCAAGAAUUUAUCUGUCUCCUGCCUCCUGUCUCUCACUGGUCAGUUUCAAGUCCCCUGCACUUCCAGGUUGUGCCACUUGGCUCUCAGGACUGACAAUGGGGAACAAGAUACCAGGCCCUGCAGCGGAGUGUGCUAGCUGAGUCUGGAGGUGGUGGAGGUGCAGGGCCUCGGAGGGUUCUGGCAUCAUGAAUGUGAACAAGGCCACGCUGGAGCACAGCCUGUAUGCUAGGGGAGGCUGAGAUGAGGUAGCAGGGCAGUGGCUGGGGUUCUUCACUGAGUAAGCAGCUGGGGCCCAGGGGGCAUGUGGGAGGCACAUAAAUUGCACAGAUUUCAUAGAUGUAUGUGUGGCCACAGGUGUGCUGUUCUCGUUGUUAGCAGCCAUCAAGUUGGCCACUCCAUGAACAAUGGGAUCAGACUGUUGCGAUCAUAGGGUUUUCUUCCUAGUCUAUAUUGGUCUGGAAGCUACACUGAUAUCUGCUUAGCAUCACAGCAACACCCAAGCCUUCACUGACUGACAAGGGGUAGCUGCUCACGAGGGGCGCUGGCCAGGAAUUGAACCUAGGUCUCCCACAUGGAAGGCAAGAAUUUCACCACUGACCCACCACUGCCCUUUAAGUUGUGCUCCCCAUUGCCAUUGAGUUGAUUACAACUCAUAGAGACCCUAUAGGACACAGUAGAACUGCCCAUAGGGUUUUCAAGGCUGUGAUCUUUACAGAAGCAGUUGCCAUAUCUUUCUCCCAUGGAGUCACUGUUGGGUUCGAACUGCUGACCUUUUGGUUACCCACCGCACCAUGAGCGCUUCUUAAGUUGUGCUAGUGUGUGGCUUUUCAAGCAUCACUCCAAAGCGACCCACUGUCAUCCCUGGGAGAAGCUCCAGAUUCUACAGCAGGAGUUAGCAAAUUUUUCCUGUAAGGGGCCAGACGGUAAGUAUUUUCGGCUUGUGGGUCAUAUGGUCUCUGUUGAAACUCUUCAUGCUCUGUCAUCAUAGUGUGAAAGCAGCAGCUACAUACACUAUGUAAAUGAAUAAGUACGGAUCUCUUCCAAGAAAACUUCAUUUACAGACACUGAAAUUUAAAUUUUGUAUUAUUUUCAUGUCCUGAAGUUUUAUUUUUGAGUAAAAACCACUGUUAGCUUGUGGGCUGUACAAAAAUAGGUGGUGGGCCACAUUUGGCUCGUGGGCUGUAGUUUUCCAGCCCCUGUUCUAUAGGAUGUAUCAGCAUCCAACCCUUCCUAAUUCAGAAAUGGCCAAAAGUUCUGUUCUUGUCUCUUCAGUUUAUUUUUUGGUUCCUCGGAGAUAUCCACAUGGCUUGGUAUCUGUCUUCCCCCAUCUCUGCUUGCUCCUUUAAUCUCUUUUAUACCUCAAAACAGAUUGACUCAAGGCACAUUUUACACUAAUCUGGCUUCAUUAACAUAACAAAGACAAGCCAUUCCCAAACAGGAUUAUAACCACAGGCAUAGAGGCUGGGAUUUACAACACAUUUUUUUAGGGGACACAAUUCAAUCCACAACCAGUGGAUAAUCUUUGUUUCAUAGCGAGCAAAAAGAAAAAUGUGCUAUUUUACUGAAAAGUAGAAAUGAAGUUUGAGGAGUGCUCCACAGACAUCAACACGGAGAAAUACUUUCCAGCUUUUCCCUAAACCCUAUUGCCUUCCAUCCUGAGGACAAACGAGGUGAUUUUGCUGGGCCCUUCCUUGUCAUGAUUUGGAAUGUGAAUAACCUGCCUUGAGUCACGAGAGCAUCUUUGCCCCUCUGGUCCUCUCCCUGUUAUUCUUGGAGGUGAGCGUAAAUUACCAGGUGCUUUUUUUGGCUCCUCGACAAAUAGCAUUGUUUUCUAUAAAAAGCUCUUUGCAGACCAACAAUAGAGGAAUGGCUGGGCAAGUGACUGCCAUAUACCAACUGCAUGAAAUAUUGUGCGGCCCUUUAAAAAGACCGAAUGAGAAGUGCAUGGAGUAAUGUGGAAAGUAUUCCUCAGCUGGCCUGAGGAGGAAAAAAUGGAACGCUGACAGAUGGACACAGUGACUUCAGCUAUGCUAAAUACGUGCACGGGUGGCUGGAGCCGCGAAGGGAACUUCAGAGAAGUGGCAGUGUGGGGAUGGUGGGAUUUGAUGGCAUAGAAAGGAGAAGCAUUCCAGUGCCAGAGUGCUCUGGGUUCAAAUCCUGACUCUCUUGCUCCAUAACUUUGUUGUUUUGGGCACAUAAGUCACCUACUCUGUGCCUCAGUUUCCCGUUCAUAACAUGUAAUUUGUAGAUUAAAUGUGAGAUUAAGCAUGAGGCAUUUAAUAAACUCAAUACAUAACAGGAAUUAUUAUGGGAGAAGAUUUUGUGAAAUGUUUCACAAGGUGGUUACAAUAAUUUUAGUCUUAAAAAUAUUCCUGGUUAAUAAUGGUACGUGUUCAUUGUAGAAAUUUGAGAAAUACAUAAAAAUAAAAAAAUAUAUGAAAUAAAACUCACUUGUAAUCCAACCAGCCAGAGACGGCCACAGUUAACAUCUUAGAGUGUAGCCCUCCAGGUGUUUCAAAUCCUGGAUCUCCUGCCAUUCCUUAGGAAGUUACUUCAUCUUCCUGAGACUCAGUUUCCUACUCUGUAAAAUGGGCCCAAUAACAUCUGCUCACAAAGUUGUGUGAACAUAAAUAAAUGUUUGUAAAAUGCUCCGCCUGGCAGAUAACAAAUGCUCAA